UAUGAGUGUUCAUACUGUUUAUUAUUGUAAAACUGGAAGUGUGUGAGCUGAGAUGAAACCUGAGGCGUGCACACUAUCAGCAAUCUAUGACAGUAUUCUACCCAGGGUGUAAAUAGUGGCCUGUAACCAGCAUGUGGUGUCUAAAUAUUAAACAGUAUAACAACCCCUUACCCACCAACUUCCUUCCAAGGCAUCAUAUGAGCUAUCAAUCAAGCCAGAUGUCUGGACUGCAGUGCUUUUGCUGACAGCACGUACUAACCCCCAUGAACAGAGAACCAUGAUAAUCAACGGAAUCGCAAAUCCUAUUGUACAUGGGAAAGCUGGCUCCUAUUGUCAGCAUCCAAAUCCCCACACAGACUAGUGGUGCCUUUUUGCGUCCUUCCUGCACUCGGGAUGACAGAGGGAAGCAGACAGCCAGGCCACGGUCAAGACUAACACAGAAGUAAUGGUGUCUUUGCUGCAAUUCAUCCACGGAAGCUUUAUACAUUCAGCUUCCUGUUGAAAUAAGUGGCCAACUGAACUCCAAGAAGCAUGUAUGUAAAUCAGCAGUUUCUGAUUCUGGUAAUGUGAAUAAAUGUAUAUGCAGCAAAUGCAGCUCUUGGUCUUCUUGCCUGGGAUUGGUGAACAGUUAAAUGUUAACAGGGUAUUUUUUAAAAAUUGCAAAAACUUGUAAUCUUUCAAAGAACACUUUCUAGAAAAUAUUCAGAAUGGUUAGGGGAAAAAUAUUUGUUACUAU